rnacentral:rRNA from 1 species
GAUGAACGCUGGCGGCGUGCUUAACACAUGCGAGUCGAACGGGAUCCCAGGGGUGCUUGCACUUUUUGGUGAGAGUGGCGAACGGGUGAGUAACACGUGAGUAACCUGUCCUUUUCUUUGGGAUAAGCAUUCGAAAGGGUGUUUAAUACCUUAUGUUCUGUCUGCCUCGCAUGGGGUGGGUGGGAAAGGCUUUGGCCGGACUUGGGUGGGCUCGCGGUCUAUCUGCUUGUUGGUGGGGUGAUGGCUUACCAAGGCUUUGCCGGGUAGCCGGCCUGAGAGGGUGGUCGAUCACAUUGGGACUGAGGUCCGCCCCAGACUCCUGCGGGAGGCAGCCGUGGGCGAUAUUGCACAAUGGGCGAAAGCCUGAUGCAGCGACGCCGCGUGGGGGAUGGAGGCCUUCGGGUUGUAAACUUCUUUUGCUCUGAACAAGGCAUGCCAGUGGGUGUGUUGAGUGUAGGGGUUGAUUAGCGCCGGCUAACUACGUG